UACCAGCACCCCGAGUGGUCGGGACGAUUAUUGGGCCUAAAGCAUCCGUAGCCGGUCCUACAAGUCUUCCGUUAAAUCCACCUGCUUAACAGAUGGGCUGCGGAAGAUACUAUAGGGCUAGGAGGCGGGAGAGGCAAGCGGUACUCAGUGGGUAGGGGUAAAAUCCUCUGAUCCAUUGAAGACCACCAGUGGCGAAGGCGGCUUGCCAGAACGCGCUCGACGGUGAGGGAUGAAAGCUGGGGGAGCAAGCCGG
rnacentral:rRNA from 1 species